rnacentral:rRNA from 1 species
GCUCAACCGGGGAGGGUCAUUGGAAACUGGGGUACUUGAGUGCAGAAGAGGAGAGUGGAAUUCCACGUGUAGCGGUGAAAUGCGUAGAGAUGUGGAGGAACACCAGUGGCGAAGGCGACUCUCUGGUCUGUAACUGACGCUGAGGCGCGAAAGCGUGGGGAGCGAACAGGAUUAGAUACCCUGGUAGUCCACGCCGUAAACGAUGAGUGCUAAGUGUUAGAGGGUUUCCGCCCUUUAGUGCUGCAGCAAACGCAUUAAGCACUCCGCCUGGGGAGUACGGUCGCAAGACUGAAACUCAAAGGAAUUGACGGGGGCCCGCACAAGCGGUGGAGCAUGUGGUUUAAUUCGAAGCAACGCGAAGAACCUUACCAGGUCUUGACAUCCUCUGACAACCCUAGAGAUAGGGCUUCCCCUUCGGGGGCAGAGUGACAGGUGGUGCAUGGUUGUCGUCAGCUCGUGUCGUGAGAUGUUGGGUUAAGUCCCGCAACGAGCGCAACCCUUGAUCUUAGUUGCCAGCAUUCAGUUGGGCACUCUAAGGUGACUGCCGGUGACAAACCGGAGGAAGGUGGGGAUGACGUCAAAUCAUCAUGCCCCUUAUGACCUGGGCUACACACGUGCUACAAUGGGCAGAACAAAG